AUGAAGGAGAAAUAGCACAUUCCUGAAUAAACAAACAGAGAGAGAAUUUGUUGCUGGAAGAGCUGCCGUAUAAAAAACACUAAAGGGAGUCCUUCAGGCUGAAAUAAAAAGACAUUAGACAGUAACUUGAAUCCACAUGAAGACAUAAAGUGCGCUGGUAAAGGUAACUGCAUAGGAUGAAGUUUACAACCUGCACAGAUGGACUGGAGCAGACCACAUAGCUGGAAUUUAGCACCCAGGGACUGGGAUAACCUCACUAGCUCUGUGUCCUUGAACAUGCCCCCACAAAGACCUCUGUAGAGACAAGACCAUAUUAGAUCAUACUUGAAUGAUAAGCAAAUAUUAAUGCCAAGGACUCACUAAGAAUAAAAUCAGACAGACACGUGAAUUUGCUGGAGAGAAUUAUAAAAUCAGAGGCUGAAGGAGAUUGGCGAUGAGGACCUCACAAUUCAAAGUUCAUUCAAGACAUCUUUGAUACAUUCCCAAACACAAGGUCAUCUGGAUGCCUGCAUCUUGGGGCUCACUAAAGAGCAUGUUAAUCUCCUGGAAGUGCUUGUUGGAAAUGUAGAUGCCUGCUGACCCUGAGAAGCUCCUGGAGACGAUGCUGCUGCAGGUGGGCUGAGCCCAUUGUCUGCGUGUUACUGCCAUCACGGCGUCACACUGGUUGACAAGUGCAGGUCUUGUGCCACUCAGAAAGAAAGUCGUGUUUUCUCUCCCACUGAUCUCUCACCAAGAACUAUGAGUAAAGACUAAAUAAAAGGAACAGGUCUAAAGAAAAACAACACAGAAUAGACAAACCCCCAGUUUUAUAUGGAUGUACUUCUGAAAGGUUGUAUAUAAAUCAGAUUUCUGUGAGUUAAUCUUUACUUUCCCUUCACUUAAAU
rnacentral:lncRNA from 1 species